UACGUAGGGUGCGAGCGUUAAUCGGAAUUACUGGGCGUAAAGCGUGCGCAGGCGGUUCGUUAAGUCAGCUGUGAAAGCCCCGGGCUUAACCUGGGAAUGGCGGUUGAAACUGGCGAACUUGAAUCUGGCAGAGGGGGGUGGAAUUCCACGUGUAGCAGUGAAAUGCGUAGAGAUGUGGAGGAACACCGAUGGCGAAGGCAGCCCCCUGGGUCAACACUGACGCUCAUGCACGAAAGCGUGGGGAGCAAACAGG
rnacentral:rRNA from 1 species